UCGGAGGGAAGGAGGGAGAGUUUUAAUCGUGUUCUCUUGUUUUAAGUCGCUAGUUCUGUGUUUAUAGUUAAACCAAUGUUGUAAUCUAUUGAACCUGUGACCAUCACUGUUUCAUCUUAUGUUGCUUGUAAUUAACAACUCUUCUACCUUCAUUUGGACUCACUCACGGCUGGAUUGGAAAAACAACAGAGCCAUUUCAUAACACGCUUCGGGAUACCGGUAAUCCAGGAUCAACAAUGUCAGGCUCAGUGCAGCAAACCAAAAGAGAGCCAGACACAAGUAAACUCUUUUCGUGAUGAAAGUCACUGGACAGGGGCCAGUUAUACACUAGGCCAAGACCAACAGCUGUGAUUACAUGUUUUGGUCCCUUUUGUUGUCGGUGACGGUGGAUGUUCUCGUUUCCACUGCCGAGGAUGAUGGGAAAAUAAAAAGGUCUGUAAACAC